UACAGAGGGUGCGAGCGUUAAUCGGAAUUACUGGGCGUAAAGCGCGCGUAGGCGGCUUUGCAAGUCGGGUGUGAAAUCCCCAGGCUUAACCUGGGAACUGCAUUCGAGACUGCAUUGCUAGAGUAUGGGAGAGGGAAGUGGAAUUUCCGGUGUAGCGGUGAAAUGCGUAGAGAUCCGGAAGAACACCGGUGGCGAAGGCGGCCUGCUGGGCUACUGCUGACACUGAGGCGCGACAGCGUGGGGAGCAAACAGG
rnacentral:rRNA from 1 species